CUACAAACUCUUUUUGAAAAUUAACAAUCUCAUUGAACAUUUCAGAACUCCUUGAUGGAUGAGUCCAAGCGAAUAAUUCAACUUUUGUGAACUCGUGUAAACGGUAUAAACCUCUGUUUUCUUUUCCACGAGCUCCCGCUUCUCUUCGAUAGGCACGAGAAACUCCAACAACUUUCCGUUCGGUGAAAUUAUUAAACGUUUUCUUAAAUCCAAGAGCUGCAAGACUAAUUUCCGCAGUCCCAAUAAGGCACUGUUUAGGAGAGCUUACAAGGGGGGAAGUAUAGGAAUCUAACUCGUAAAUCUGCUGACCUUCUUCAUCACGAGGUUGAAACCCACAAGCUAGAGCUAUAUCGGUGCGGACAAUCGUAGGAGGAAUGACAGGACACCAUCCUUUUGAUAUAGCAAAAUCCAUUGCAUAGUUUGUUAUAGCCAUUUCUAACAGAGCAAUGUCACCCGUUGUAUAGCAAAACGAAUGACCACUCGCUUGAGCAGCAUCUUCUAGGUUGAUCCCUUCAUUUGCAAUCUGUAAAUGAUCCUUCAAAGAACCCGUUUUUUUCACUAAAGGACUACCUAUUUUUUGUACAACAACGGCCUUAUCUUCAGGACCCACAGGUACCGUUGGCAAAGUAGUAUUCGGAACUGCCAGACAAUACUGGUAUAAAUCAUUGGUAACCUUUGAAAUAAUUUUGUUAUACUCUUCCGUUUUCUUUUUUAAACCCUUAGCUUCAUUAACUAGUUUCCCUCUUUCAUUCGGAUCACUACAUCGUUCAAUUUGGAGAGUAAUCUCCUUUUUUAGAGAGAGUAAGGGAAAAAAUUCAUUCUUUAAUGAUUCCUUUUCAUCAAUUAGUGAUCUGAUUUUGGGAACUGUCUCUGCUAUAGCUUGCAAAUUUCGAUUAAUACAAUUUCUUUGUACUGCUUCAGCAUUCUGAUAGAUGUACUUGUAAUUCAAAAUCGCCUGCCAAGAACUUCUUAAAUAACUAGUGUGCGUAGAAAAUGUCCUUAAAUACAACAAUUGACUCAUAAAUAUGAAGCCUUUUUUCUUGGACGGGAGGGCAUUUCCCAGGAAAGUGGAAAACCGACGAUUAGUCAAUCGCAUCAGAAAUUCGAUUGGGCAGU